ACAACAUUCGGACCGUCCGUCUACCGAGAAGUUUCACCCGCUCGAUGGAAGACCUAUCUACCCUUUGUCGU
rnacentral:pre_miRNA from 1 species